rnacentral:lncRNA from 1 species
AGGGACAAGAAGAUACCGGAAGAACUGUCCUCGUAUUUCAGUUUCCUCAGUACAGAUCUUCAUCCCAUAAGUUUUACUCCCAGGUAAUAGUGUUAUGUCAGUAGCGGUGAGAGAGCAAGGCAGUUUCUUUCAGAUUUUUUUCUCCUCAGCCUGAUUAAAGGCAAGAAUCCCAGCUGUACAGGGGAGCAUACAGAAAGGCAUGAAGAUGGUUUCUUAAAUGAUGAUCCAUCAAGAAAAGAAAAAUAUCCAGUUUUGCGUCAGAUGUCUUGUCAUUCCCUGUGUAAAACCACCACUGAAGAUGCAAACCCAAAGGUCUCCCAAAUACCUUCAGUCCAACAGACAGAGGAAGACUCAUCACUGAACAUGUUAAAUAAGUGUGUGGCUGCCAACAUGUUACAGGAAACAGAAGAGAAGUUACAGUUCUUUGCUAGUUAUGAGACAGGUUUCUCUCAGGCACUUGUGAAUAUGCUGACCUAUGAUGGGAGAGAACUCACUGAGGGGACUGAUUAUAAUAAAUGGUGCCAGAAGUCACUAGCACGCAAAAGUGUGAGAUCCAGGAGAAGCCAGGCCUUGGAGGAGGCUAAGAAUGGUGCUCCUGGUUCCAAGUGUACGCAGCAUGAAAUCCUGACCAUCAGAAGAGACCAAUACGAGAGGAGCUUUGCUCUGUCAGCUUGUGCUGCAAAGGAAAAAAGAAAUGCUGAGACAGCAUCAAAUGCGCCUCUAGGAAAUGAAGCUCCUGUUGUGCAAAGCCUUAACAGCCAGUCACCUGUCACAGUCAGCUUCUCGCUGUCAUCCAAAAUUUGUGAGGAAAGAGGUUGGAUUUGCCAGCCUUCUGACUCAAGUUCUGAGGAUCCUCAGAAGCUGCAUUAUGUGUGGGCACUGAAGAGACUACAACAAAUUCAACAACAAAUAAACCAUGGCUAA